UUAUAAUACAAAAUUGUGAAUUUUUUAGCUAAGUACUUUCCCCUCCCUCCCAUUGAAAAAUCCUAGAUAAGCCACUGAUCAUUGGAAUUGCACAGUGAGUGUUAUAGUUAGUAUUUUGACUGAAUUAUUUUCUCUUAAAAAAAAAAUGUAUUUAUGGUGGAUAUUAUAGAAGGGAUGGUAAUUGGCGAUGAAAGUUUCUAUAAAUGUAAUGUCUGAAAAUGUGUUUAUAAUUCUCUAUACAAAAAUUGUAAUUAGGUAUACAACUAUCAAUAUGGCUAUCAAGAAAUAGUAAAAAUUGAAGUGGCCUGGACAUAUAGUGACCCGGUAAGAAUUUUCUAGCCACUUCGUCCUUAAUUUGUCUAUUGAUUAAUUUUAUAGAACAGUAAUUUUACCAAUGUCCAUUUGUAUGGUUUAUAUUUUUAGUAGGAUAGGAGAGAGAGAUGGGCAUAGACCCCUCGAGUGACCUAGUUUUUUUCCCUGGGGGCUUUAACACCCCCCCAAAUGUUUCGUCAAAAUCGCACGGGGGAUGACAAAUAAUACAAAUUAUCAAAUUCAAGGACAUGAUAUCAAUGUUUUAUUGAUCCAAUGAAUAAUUCUUACUGCCUUUAGAUAGAUGGUCUUUGGUGCUGUUCGUAUGAUUACUAUCUUGAUUUAAUGAUUUUAUGACCAUCCCUGGCCUAUUUAUCUUAUGUCUUUGUAUGGAAUCUUAAAAAAUAUGUUUGGUUAUCGUAGUCCUCUACACGAAUGCUAAACUACGAAAUACUUAUUAAUUUAUUAUGAUUAAUGGCUUAUUUAAUACGUGUACCUAUAAUAAUUUAUACAUUUUAAC